rnacentral:rRNA from 1 species
GAACAAAGCUACGGGGUAUCUCCAACGAUAGCACCAGUGUAGCCAAGAUGGAUCCCUCCACCAGAAGGAAGAGCAAAAAUAUGAGUCGAUGGGGCUGUUUCCAGAGAUGGUAAUGUUGGUUCCUUCAGUGCUGUCUGCAGAAACUCUUCAGGUGCAUACUUGGGCGCUUCAGUUAUCAAGAUCUAUGGAGUUUCGGAUCCGGUGAUGCAGGAAGCAUUGGCGUGUCGCGAGGCACUUGCUCUCGCUACUGACCUGGACCUUGCUCGUAUUCUCGUAGCAAGUGACAGCCAAGGUGUAGUCAACGACAUCAAGAACCGCACCGGGGGUGCCUACGCCAGCACCACCAGGGAGAUUGUGGAAACAUCGGUUAGUUUUGAUAGUUGCACCUUCAUCUUUGAAGGUAGGGCAACUAAUGUUGAGGCAUAUAGCCUCGCUAAGCAUGCUUUCGGUUUGGAUUAUGGGCGCCAUGUGUGGCUGUUAAACCCUCCAAACAUUUCUUGUAUCCCUAUGAACAUUAUUGAACAAUAA